rnacentral:lncRNA from 1 species
CGCCGCUGCUGCCUGUAGACCGACAGAUUCCAGGGAAAAAACAGGCGGAACACCAUCGUCGCUGCCGGUGAAUAUACCGGACUGGUCGAGGAUAUUGAAGAACGAGUACCGAAGGGGAUCUGACGUUGUUGAUGAUCGUGGUGAUGUUGAUGAUGAUGAUGAUGAUGUGGACGGUGAUGAUUAUUUUGAUGGCGGAGUGAGGGUCCCACCUCACGAGUUAUUGGUGAGGCAGAUGGCUAGGUCAAGGAUCGCAUCCUUCUCGGUUCAUGAAGGAAUAGGGAGGACUUUG